AGUUUCGAAUCAUUCACAAUGGGCGAAAGCCUGAUGGUGCGACGCCGCGUGAGGGAUGAAGGUCUUCGGAUUGUAAACCUCUGUCACUGGGGAAGAAACGCUUUGAGUUAAUAGUUCAAAGCCUGACUUAACCCGGAGAGGAAGUAGUGGCUAACUCUGUGCCAGCAGCCGCGGUAAUACAGAGACUGCAAGCGUUAUUCGGAUUCACUGGGCGUAAAGGGUGCGCAGGCGGCCGUGUGUGUGAGGUGUGAAAUCCCGGAGCUUAACUCCGGAACUGCGCCUCAAACUACACGGCUAGAGCAUUGGAGAGGGAAGUGGAAUUCACGGUGUAGCAGUGAAAUGCGUAGAUAUCGUGAGGAACACCAGUGGCGAAGGCGACUUCCUGGACAAUUGCUGACGCUCAGGCACGAAAGCGUGGGGAGCAAAAGGGAUUAGAUACCCCUGUAGUCCACGCCCUAAACGGUGCACACUAGGUUUUGGAGGAUUCGACCCCUUCAGGACCCAAGCUAACGCGUUAAGUGUGCCGCCUGAGGACUA
rnacentral:rRNA from 1 species